rnacentral:rRNA from 1 species
UACGAAGGGUGCAAGCGUUACUCGGAAUUACUGGGCGUAAAGCGUGCGUAGGUGGUUGUUUAAGUCUGUUGUGAAAGCCCUGGGCUCAACCUGGGAAUUGCAGUGGAUACUGGGCGACUAGAGUGUGGUAGAGGGUAGUGGAAUUCCCGGUGUAGCAGUGAAAUGCGUAGAGAUCGGGAGGAACAUCCAUGGCGAAGGCAGCUGCCUGGACCAACACUGACACUGAGGCACGAAAGCGUGGGGAGCAAACA